ensembl:lncRNA
CUCCCGGGCUGGCUGCUGGAACUGCCCUGCCCUGGGGCUUUGCUCCUGCACGGAGAGCUGAGGGCCAUGGCCCCGCUGCAGCAGCUCGAGAGGGCGGAAAAUGAAAGCAAACCAAAAGCAAACAGACACUGCUGGUUCUGCCCCUUUCCUGUUUGGCGGCUUCUGUUGCAGGGCCUGCAGGGCGCCUGCUGGGCAGGGACACGCGUGGGCAGCAAAACACAGCAGUGGGACAGGGACAGCACUGCACGGAGCUUUGGCGUCGCCCAUCCCCGUGGGACCCGAGGAUGCUCCCAUUGCUGCGCCGGGCCUGGCUGUGCCUCGGAGCUCUGCUGGUUGCCCCCCAUGUGAGUGGUGCUGCUGUGCCCCGGGACCCCCAUCCCCACUGCCUUUGGUGGAGGUUUCCGCUCUGCCCCAGUGCUUUGCUUCCGCUACAUGGCGGGGCUGCUCUCCCUACGCUGUGGCUUCUGCGGGGUGCAGGGUCCCGAGCGGCCCCACAGGGGAAGCGUUCCCGCCCACUGCUCAGCCCGCAGUGCGAUCCCUUGCAUCUGCCCGCUGCUCCACGGCCCUGGGGGGGACAGGGACCCACAGCCAGGGCACGGGGACCGCACUGGGCCGUGGGGGUGCAGCUCAGCCCCACGGCCUGGCGCAGGAGGGGACCCCGCAGCUGCUGAUGGACAUGAGCCGCGACGCCUUCGACGAUCAGUACGAGGGCUGCGCGGCGGCGAUGGAGGCAGCGGGGCCGGCGCUGCUGGAGCGGGAGCGGGCGCGGGGCGAGUCCCGUCUGUUCCGCAGGGUGUGGGGCCGGGCUGGGGAGCGCUGGCAGCGGGUGAAGGGCGCGCUGGCCCCCCGCCUGCCCCUUGGCUUCAAGCUGCCAAGCAAUUGCCUUGGGCAUCCCUUUGUUUUCUUCUGUUCUUCCUUCCUAUCUCUCUCAUCAAACUGUCCCUCUCAGCUGACAAGUUCUCACACUUUUAUCUGUGUCAGUGCUCUGCCCAUCUCCUGGUGUGGCAGUGAGCAAACGGCCAAGUGCUGCAGAGCUGCUGCAGGGUUAAACCACAGCUGUGCUAC